GAUGAACGCUGGCGGCGUGCCUAAUACAUGCAAGUCGAGCGAACAGACGAGGCGCUUGCUGCUCUGACGUUAGCGGCGGACGGGUGAGUCACGCGUGGAUAACGUACCUAUAAGACUGGGAUAACUUCGGGACACCGGAGCUAAUACCGGAUAAUAUAUUGAACCGCAUGGGUGAAUAGUGAAAGACGGCUGUGCUGUCACUUAUAGAUGGAUACGGGCUGGAUUGGCUGGUUGGUAAGGUAACGGCUUACGAAGGGGAGGAUGCGUAGCCGACCUGAGAGAGGGAUAGGCCACAUGGGAACGUAGACACGCACCAGACUCCUACGGGAGGCAGCAGAAGGGAACGGUACGCAAUGGGCGAGAACAUGACGGAGUGACGCCGAGUGAGUGGUGACGGUGUUCGGAUCGUAAUACUCUGUUAUUAGGGAUAAACAAAUGUGUAAGGAACUGUGGACUUCUUGACGGUACCUAGUCAGAAAGCCCCGGCUAACUACGUG
rnacentral:rRNA from 1 species